rnacentral:rRNA from 1 species
UACGAAGGGUGCAAGCGUUACUCGGAAUUACUGGGCGUAAAGCGCACGUAGGCGGCUUUUUAAGUCAGGGGUGAAAUCCCGGGGCUCAACCCCGGAACUGCCCUUGAAACUGGAGAGCUAGAAUCUUGGAGAGGCGAGUGGAAUUCCGAGUGUAGAGGUGAAAUUCGUAGAUAUUCGGAAGAACACCAGUGGCGAAGGCGACUCGCUGGACAAGUAUUGACGCUGAGGUGCGAAAGCGUGGGGAGCAAACAGG